rnacentral:tRNA from 1 species
UCCGCGGUAGCUCAAAGGUAGAGCGACUGCCUGUUAAGCAGUAUGUUGUGAGUUCGAGUCUCACCCGCGGAG